rnacentral:rRNA from 1 species
UACGGAGGGUGCAAGCGUUAUCCGGAUUCACUGGGUUUAAAGGGUGCGUAGGUGGGCAGGUAAGUCAGUGGUGAAAUCUCCGGGCUUAACUCGGAAACUGCCAUUGAUACUAUCUGUCUUGAAUACCGUGGAGGUUAGCGGAAUAUGUCAUGUAGUGGUGAAAUGCUUAGAUAUGACAUAGAACACCAAUUGCGAAGGCAGCUGGCUACACGAAUAUUGACACUGAUGCACGAAAGCGUGGGGAUCAAACAGG